GGGUUGUGAGGUUAAGCGACUAAGCGUACACGGUGGAUGCCCUGGCAGUCAGAGGCGAUGAAGGACGUGCUAAUCUGCGAAAAGCGUCGGUAAGGUGAUAUGAACCGUUAUAGCCGGCGAUGUCCGAAUGGGGAAACCCAGUGCAAUUCGUUGCACUAUCGUUAACUGAAUACAUAGGUUAACGAGGCGAACCGGGGGAACUGAAACAUCUAAGUACCCCGAGGAAAAGAAAUCAACCGAGAUUCCCCCAGUAGCGGCGAGCGAACGGGGAGCAGCCCAGAGUCUGAAUCAGCUUGUGUGUUAGUGGAACGGUCUGGAAAGUCCGACGGUACAGGGUGAUAGUCCCGUACACCAAAAUGCACAGGUUGUGAACUCGAAGAGUAGGGCGGGACACGUGGUAUCCUGUCUGAAUAUGGGGGGACCAUCCUCCAAGGCUAAAUACUCCUGACUGACCGAUAGUGAACCAGUACCGUGAGGGAAAGGCGAAAAGAACCCCGGCGAGGGGAGUGAAAAAGAACCUGAAACCGUGUACGUACAAGCAGUGGGAGCACCUUCGGGUGUGACUGCGUACCUUUUGUAUAAUGGGUCAGCGACUUAUAUUCUGUAGCAAGGUUAACCGUAUAGGGGAGCCGCAGGGAAACCGAGUCUUAACUGGGCGUUAAGUUGCAGGGUAUAGACCCGAAACCCGGUGAUCUAGCCAUGGGCAGGUUGAAGGUUGGGUAACACUAACUGGAGGACCGAACCGACUAAUGUUGAAAAAUUAGCGGAUGACUUGUGGCUGGGGGUGAAAGGCCAAUCAAACCGGGAGAUAGCUGGUUCUCCCCGAAAGCUAUUUAGGUAGCGCCUCGUGAAUUCAUCUUCGGGGGUAGAGCACUGUUUCGGCUAGGGGGUCAUCCCGACUUACCAACCCGAUGCAAACUACGAAUACCGAAGAAUGUUAUCACGGGAGACACACGGCGGGUGCUAACGUCCGUCGUGAAGAGGGAAACAACCCAGACCGCCAGCUAAGGUCCCAAAGUCAUGGUUAAGUGGGAAACGAUGUGGGAAGGCACAGACAGCCAGGAUGUUGGCUUAGAAGCAGCCAUCAUUUAAAGAAAGCGUAAUAGCUCACUGGUCGAGUCGGCCUGCGCGGAAGAUGUAACGGGGCUAAACCAUGCACCGAAGCUGCGGCAGCGACACUAUGUGUUGUUGGGUAGGGGAGCGUUCUGUAAGCCUGCGAAGGUGACCUGUGAGGGUUGCUGGAGGUAUCAGAAGUGCGAAUGCUGACAUAAGUAACGAUAAAGCGGGUGAAAAGCCCGCUCGCCGGAAGACCAAGGGUUCCUGUCCAACGUUAAUCGGGGCAGGGUGAGUCGACCCCUAAGGCGAGGCCGAAAGGCGUAGUCGAUGGGAAACAGGUUAAUAUUCCUGUACUUGGUGUUACUGCGAAGGGGGGACGGAGAAGGCUAUGUUAGCCGGGCGACGGUUGUCCCGGUUUAAGCAUGUAGGCUGGUUAUCCAGGCAAAUCCGGAUAAUCAAGGCUGAGGUGUGAUGACGAGGCACUACGGUGCUGAAGUAACAAAUGCCCUGCUUCCAGGAAAAGCCUCUAAGCAUCAGGUAACAUCAAAUCGUACCCCAAACCGACACAGGUGGUCAGGUAGAGAAUACCAAGGCGCUUGAGAGAACUCGGGUGAAGGAACUAGGCAAAAUGGUGCCGUAACUUCGGGAGAAGGCACGCUGGUGUGUAGGUGAAGUCCCUGCGGAUGGAGCUGAGACCAGUCGAAGAUACCAGCUGGCUGCAACUGUUUAUUAAAAACACAGCACUGUGCAAACACGAAAGUGGACGUAUACGGUGUGACGCCUGCCCGGUGCCGGAAGGUUAAUUGAUGGGGUUAUCCGUAAGGAGAAGCUCUUGAUCGAAGCCCCGGUAAACGGCGGCCGUAACUAUAACGGUCCUAAGGUAGCGAAAUUCCUUGUCGGGUAAGUUCCGACCUGCACGAAUGGCGUAAUGAUGGCCAGGCUGUCUCCACCCGAGACUCAGUGAAAUUGAACUCGCUGUGAAGAUGCAGUGUACCCGCGGCAAGACGGAAAGACCCCGUGAACCUUUACUAUAGCUUGACACUGAACAUUGAGCCUUGAUGUGUAGGAUAGGUGGGAGGCUUUGAAGCGUGGACGCCAGUCUGCGUGGAGCCAACCUUGAAAUACCACCCUUUAAUGUUUGAUGUUCUAACGUUGGCCCCUGACCGGGGUUGCGGACAGUGUCUGGUGGGUAGUUUGACUGGGGCGGUCUCCUCCCAAAGCGUAACGGAGGAGCACGAAGGUUAGCUAAUCCUGGUCGGACAUCAGGAGGUUAGUGCAAUGGCAUAAGCUAGCUUGACUGCGAGCGUGACGGCGCGAGCAGGUGCGAAAGCAGGUCAUAGUGAUCCGGUGGUUCUGAAUGGAAGGGCCAUCGCUCAACGGAUAAAAGGUACUCCGGGGAUAACAGGCUGAUACCGCCCAAGAGUUCAUAUCGACGGCGGUGUUUGGCACCUCGAUGUCGGCUCAUCACAUCCUGGGGCUGAAGUAGGUCCCAAGGGUAUGGCUGUUCGCCAUUUAAAGUGGUACGCGAGCUGGGUUUAGAACGUCGUGAGACAGUUCGGUCCCUAUCUGCCGUGGGCGCUGGAGAAUUGAGGGGGGCUGCUCCUAGUACGAGAGGACCGGAGUGGACGCAUCACUGGUGUUCGGGUUGUCAUGCCAAUGGCACUGCCCGGUAGCUAAAUGCGGAAGAGAUAAGUGCUGAAAGCAUCUAAGCACGAAACUUGCCCCGAGAUGAGUUCUCCCUGAGACUUUAAGUCUCCUGAAGGAACGUUAAAGACGAUGACGUUGAUAGGCCGGGUGUGUAAGCGCAGCGAUGCGUUGAGCUAACCGGUACUAAUGAACCGUGAGGCUUAACCUUACAACGCCGAAG
rnacentral:rRNA from 1 species